GCUCCACCGCUGCCACGGCACGGUGGGCCGACCUUACCUAGUGUGGUCAGCCAUGCCGUCCUGCUUCGGCAAACACCUUUGGGGGUUCAGAAAAACGACGAGUAGCCGGGCGCAAGCCCGUGUGAAAGUCGGGUCUGGC
rnacentral:ncRNA from 1 species